CCCCCCCCACCCCUUUCCCAGUGCAGCCCCCCUUUUUUGUGUGUGCGUGCGUGCAUGUGUGCGUGCUCUUUGUUGCAUCCUGACCUCUACCUCAGGCUGACCCUUUGGGGAGGGGUUAUAGGGGGAGAGAAGAGAGGAAGGGCGGGAGAUGGGAGACUUCUGCAGACACAGCUCUUAUGCAUCAAGGUGUGCGGCAAUCUGAGCACAGAAGGUUGCCUCUCCUUAACUCCUGCUUCACCCUCCUAUUCUGCCUGUGCUCUUCAGUGCUCUCUCUCUCUCUCUCUCAGCCUCAGCUAGAUUGGCUCUAAGGAGAAGGCUGACGGCUGCAGCAUGAAGCGCAUUAUUACCUUGUGAUUCCAUGACCCUCCUCUAUGCAUCCCUAACUCUUGAAAGCUGAUUCAGCUUUCAGCUAGUGCUCUGGUGACUCCACUGCUGCAAGAGAAUCUUCUAACUGGUAUGUCUUUUUUCCACCCCCCAAACCCUCCCCUCUCUACGAUCUGCCUUUCCUUUAACUGCACCAGCUCGGCUUGUUUUUAAACACUUUGCUGGCUAACGUAGGACUCGGUGCCCAUCCAACUUGCCCGUGGACUGACAGGGGUGGCUCUGCGUUUGGUGAAUGCGUGCGUGUGUGUGUGCGUGUGCACAGGGCGGGUGUGAUAAUAUGUGGGUGGGUUACGAGACCCUUUUUGUGGUGGUGUUGUUGUUGUUCUGCUGUGGCACACUCCGCAUUUUUAAAGGGAAAAAAAAAACUGCAGAGCAAGCAGUGGACUAGAAUAAGCUGAACUGAAAUGUUAGAACUUUGACAUGCAAUCACGUUGCAAGGUUAAACCCUUCCUCUCAAUGCCUAAUUCUGAGCUGGGCUAAAUGACACCUAAGGGGAUUUUUUUAUUUAUUUUUUUUAAAUAACCGGUGGCUCUGAGCUGAAAUAAUACCACCCAGAGCAAAGGCUGAAAUGGGGUUUUAACUUAGCCUAACUUGCAAUGAUCUCAACGCUGCGGUGAUUAACCAUUGAAAAGCCUAGAAGAGAGCAUUAAUUACAGGCACGAUGUUUAUGGACAAUGCAAAAGGAAUAGCCAUAGGAUGAGAAGUUAGGUUUUCACUGCAAGGAUUUGGAAAGGAAGGUUACACUUCACACAUCCUUUGAUUAUGAUUGCUUCUGAAGCCAGUAGUUAGCUCUGGUCAUUGCAUUUUGCAUUGGAGUGGUGUAUCAGAGACAUUCACACACCGGUAGUACAUGUAUAUAGAUUGUGAGAGAUCUUGUGAAAUCUAUAUUCACACACACAGAACAUAGGUGUGCUUUAUAGAAUAUAGCUCGACGGUUUACAUCUCUUUAUACAGAUACAUACCCAUUAUAUGCCAACAGAUAUAUAUUAUCUGAAUACAGUACAUAGCAUAUAGUGUGUGCAUAGUGUAUGAAUAGAUGUAUGUGCCUGUUAGAGUGUAUGCUCAGCAAUCGUGUAAUUGUACAGUCAGAAAUCUAUUAUUUGUGCUGUCAUUUUAAUUGCUGGGUGUCUCCUGAAUGGGUGAUUUUGUCUAUUCCUCAAAUUUUCAUUUUCUUACCCAACCUGACUUGAUACAAACCGCCGUAUGCAGGGAAGGGCGCUGGCAGGUUGGCCAGAACUAGCGCAAGCUUUUACCUCCUGCUCAUCCUCCCCUGCACCUCUUGCACCCUGACAUAAGCCCUGGCUUUCUCCAGCACCUACUACUCUUUGCAAGUCCAAAAAGUUUUGAGCUGUCCAGCUGCAGAGAGCCUUCGUUGAAGUGACUAGGCGAGCGCGUGGAGCCUUGGGGGCAGGAUGAAGCCCCCAAUGAGUAGGAACAUGUGCCAAUUGCCCCCCUCCUCAAGACCCCCCCCAUGUGCACCUUCACUCCCAUUACCUCCAGUCCCCUUCCCCUCUUUCAUUUGCUCCUUAGCUUCUGCACUUCUAGUUUAUCGAAUGGCACUAAGGAUUUAGGAUUUUCUUGUCCUUAGUUUCCUGUGCUUCCCUGGCCCCAGGUUUCUCAGGCAAGAUUUUCCACUGUGAACGUGCCACCAGGCAGCUUAGCCAGCCUAGGUGAGUGAGGGAAAGUUGCAGAACUGUCGCUCCGAGCCAGAGCUUCUGCUUGUAUCAUCCAGGAUGCGGAAAGGCUCAAUAGCCCUGACCAACUGCCCAAAAGAGCAGUAGGUCCGCAUGCCUUCUGCCCCGCCAACCGUCACAGAGGGGUGUUUUUUUGGAAAACGUGGAUUUUUGUUCAAACACCCAAGGUGAAUUAACAAAAAAAGAAAUACACUCCCCAGAUGCACCUGGUAUCAGGCAGUGCCCGCACACCGAGCCUGGAUAAACUUUGCUGUGACUUUUAUAGAUGCUCAAAGAGUGGGGUUCUUUUCCGAAGCCUUUUUAAUAAAGGCUUAAAACUUCAGUGUCAAAAUCCAGUAUACGAAUAUUUCCAUUAUUAUCCUUCCGUCCCCAUCUCAUUCAUCUGCAAAAGUUUGGGACUCCACAGACAUUCAGCCCAAUGCUGUGGCUGGGCAGAGAUCCCCCACAUUGGCUAAUUUCCCUUGACUUAAAGCAAUCAGGCUUUCAUUCAUACGCCUGGCAUGUGCCUAUUUAAAUCCUCACUUCUCUGUCUUGCCUUAAUUUCACUGCAGUCGUGCAUUCGGGUGGUGUCACAGCUCCACCUCUCUUCCUUUUAGUCCCCAACGCUUGGGAAUUGCCUUUCAGUUGGACAAGGGUAGGGAUAACAUCAAGCAAACCAAAAGGUAUUAAGGAAGGUGUCUAACAAAACCAGGGCCGAGGCGUCUGAGCAGUGAGACAUGGUUGGUGUGAAGUCGCUUUCCAGGCUGGACCUUACCAAACCUUCAGAAAGGUGUCUCUCAACCUCCCCGGCUCUUGCGGAGUUCUUCUACUGGAUGACAUUUUAAAAUUAAAAAAAAAAAAGCCAUCCAAAAAGGCAUCUCCUUUCUUUUGGGGGCUCUCUCAUUUGCAAGGUAGUAUUGCACUUACAAUGACCUGCACAGGAAAAUCUUUGGAUUCACUAGAUCAGCAACUCUCAGAUUUGCAAAGGGUGCAGUCGCUUGUGCUUGCAAAUAGGCAUGUGAAAUUGGACUGCUGCGAGGCUGGAAAAGCCCAAGCUCUCUGGAGGAUCUGAUUUGUUUUCUUUAGACACUAGACACUGCCCCACUUCUAUUUCCAGAGGGGUCAGGUGGAAGAGUCCAGCUGGCGCUGUGCGGCCUGGCUGUCAGUCCUGACACCUGCUCAGAUAACACCUCUCUCAGAUAACGCUGCCAGAGGAUCAUCCCGUCGGGCUGGAGCUCUGCCAGCUCUAAGAAAGUUCCUUCCAAGGUGCAUGAAUCCAGAGCAUGGGCCCAUUUCCAGCUGCGGACGCUUUCCGGAGUCCAUUUGGAUUGCAACUUGGCACUGACCUGUGACUUCUCCUUCCUUCCAGGCAAAUGCACACACACUGCAUAGACCACGCUGUCAUGCUGGGAUUGGGAUCACUUAGCAUAUACCAAACCAAAAAACAAGGGGUUGUGUGACGGGGCGUCACAGCCCGUCGGAGCAGCGCAACACGCGUCUUCCAGGCUCAAGGUAAGAGGUGUGCAAAUAUAGUAGUUUCUCUACAUUGCUGGAAGAAGCCCCACAUAAAGGAGAAAACACCGUGAAGGCAAGUUCUCCAUUUCGGAUACUUCAGUGUAAGUUUAUUUGAGGUUCCCCCAGUCCGUGCAUUUUGGCUUCCCAUGACCUGUUUCAGCGGGGUGGAUGGGUUUUAACUCAUUCUUCAUGUUCUACAAUCAAGCGCCUCAUUGGCAUUGCCAUGACUGCUGCAUCAGUUCUCUGUAUUGCAUGCACUCUGUGAACAGAAACCCGUUCAGCCAGUAGAUUUUAGAAGUGGCACUGGCCAAAAAGAAAAAGUCGAUGCCUGGUAGGGGCACGUGGCUGAGAUAACUGAAGGGGACAUUAACAUCUGUGAUUUUUAUGAUUCAGUGAACAAUGAACAUUAGCAUAAUCCUGACUUAAACCUUCCCCCCCCCCAGAUCAUCAUUUACUAUUAAUUAAUUAUCAACAUUAUCCUAUGAUUAAUUAUGAAUGUUUACACCAUCGAUCAGCCCCUGGCUAGGCUGAUAACUCGAAAUCUUGCACAAAGAUUAUUUUAACAAUAGCUACAGUACGUCGUGUAAUGCAUUUCACAGUAGCGUUGUCAGCCUCAUCUAUAAGGCUUUUUACUAAUGCACUUUACAACAUAUCUCAUAAUACACGGAUGAGGAAUGUGGCUACAUCCAGUAAUAAUUUCAUUAAUUAUGAAUAAAGCAUUUACAAAUGACAUCCUUAUUUAAAAAUGGUGAUGAACUCAUUUUGUUUUAAUGCAGCUGCAAUAUGUAAUUUGCCAUCUCUUACAAAGCCAUGCUGGAAGAGUGGGUCAGAGAGAAAGGCCUAGGAUCUUAAGAGAUUUAUGCUCUUAAGGAGUUAAAAAUCUUCACUGGAGACUGAGGAAGACAAACAGCAAAAUGGCAGCAAAAAGCAAUAGCUCAGUCUUCAAGUGGGUGACUGGAGCAACCAUAUAAAGGUACCAGGGGAUGCUGACAACCCCAAUUAGGUCCCAAUCAGUGACCUUGGGUUACAGCUGUGACCCAUAACAUAUUACUCUAAAUUGACAGUACAUCCAUAUUUUAAUUGGCAUUCUUUUUAUUUCUUUUUAUACAUUCAGAUGGCUUACCAAUUCUUGUUAGUCGUGCAAGGUUUGUCAUUGCAACAUUUUGGUACUGGGCAUCACAUACGCUUCCACCAAAUGCCAAGAUAUCUGUUUCUGCAAAGUUUAUCAUCAAGGCUGCUUAAGUCCAUUAUAACUAUGUGCUAAUUUAUAGCCCUUUUAAGGGAUAUGGAAUGAAUAAUUUAAUAGUGAAGAAAAGAGUUCACGGCUCCAUCUCCUCACCAAAUGGGUGUAUUAUCCAUUUAUUAUUUUGAGUUUAGUUGCUUGUAAUUAUUCACUGACUUAUUUCUACACACAUUUGACUUGCUGAUCAUCCGUUCACAAGAAGCUGUUUUGCGUAGAACUGGUCAAGCCGUUCAGUAUUCAUACUCGUGCCACAGCCGGAGCUAUGCAUGAGAUCAGACUAGAUAAUCUGUUGGUUCCUUCUGGUCUUGAAAACUAUGCAAAUCUAUGAAUAAUUAUUCUGGGUGAGAUUUUCAAAUGUAAGCAGUGAUUUUUACAUAUUAUAAUUGUACAUAAUAAUCUUUACAUAUUAUAAUAGCUGAGGCCUGGUUUUCAGGUAUCCUUAAAGUAUGCCAAGUGCCCCCACACCAAAAAAUAUAGAUAAUAAAAACUUACAGAUCACUUGAAAACUUUGGCCAUUUGAUUUUGAUGUUGGCAAACACUGGUUCUGAUUUUCUUCCAAUGCUUUUAGUCUUAAGCAUGUGUAAGGGUUUGGAUUACAACUCUUUCCAGAUUGCAUUUGUUCACAAACUUUUGCACAACUUCUUGUUACUUGCUAGGUUGAAUAGCAAUGGAGAUUUGGUGCAGGUGGAAGCCAUGGACCAAACAAGAUUAGAAACUUUAGACCAGAUUUUUGGAUCAGCAACAGGGCAGUGAUCAGAGAACAACCACAAAGAAAUCCCAGAAAGAUCACAGAGUGACAUGUAGAGAACAAUAUGCUCCCUUUUGAGUGAAAAUCAGUCAGCCUUUAUUGGAGCAGGAGAAUACAGUUGCCAUCCCGUCAAGGGAAAAAACUGUUUGGAGCAGUCAGUCAAAGCUAGACUUGCUCGCUGUGGAUCCUGUCGGGAAAAUGCACUGCGCUAGAUAUGAAAAUCAGCAGCCAGCUCUCCUGAACUCCGCGUGGUUGACAAAGGCUAACACAGCUUUAGCAUUUGCCAGGGAUUCAGAAAUGUGCAUUUUUUUCCCUGCGCUGUCCCUGUAUUUGAAACAUGUGCCGAGUCACUGAUUUUUCUCUCUUUCUGGAUCCAGUUUUCCAGGUUGGAUCCUGGUCCAGAUUUGCCUGAAGUUCAGGGCAAUUGGGACUCGGAGAGUCUGCCCCACCUGUGUCUUAAUGCACGCAGGUGCAUAAACACUGGAGGUUACAUGAUCCUUUUCCAUGUCACUCGUGUGACAUGAAACCGGCCCCAGAGGCUUGUGCCUGAGCCACUACGCUGCCCAGCAGUGGCCGCGCAGCUACAACAGACGCUUGCCACAGGCUUUUGCUGUGCGAGGCCCAGAUUCCAUGUGGCAUCUUUUAAACCGAAGCCGAACAUGACAGCUGGCUCUUUCACGCCCUGACCUGAGCCCUUUCUAAAGGGCCCAUCACCACAGCAUAGCUUCCUCACUCUGGUACAGCCUACAUGACUAAACAUUACUCGUGUCAGCUCGAGUCCUUCAGGUGAAGCCGUUAGAUUACAAAUGCUUCAAGGCAUGGCGAGCCAUUUUCUCCAGGCAAAGAACUCUGCAAUUUUAUGGUGCGCUAGCAGUGUCUUUUAGCAUUGACAGUAGCAAAGAGCACAGACGUUACAGCUGUGGUCUUGGGCAGGAUGCUUCCUGCAAGCGUGCUUCCUUUUGCGGAUAACCACUCUGAGCUGCAGCGAAUGAAAAGGAGAUGAAAGUAAAGCUGGCCUGGAGACACAACUGUUCAUCAAAAUGGGAACUUCUUUCUGCAGUGGUGUCUGGUCAGGCUGUAGGUUUCUCAGGCUGAGGCUGGAGUUUCUGGGCAGAGAUGGACAGAUUAUUCUGGUUUGCAGCAGAUGGAGCAGGGGCUUGAAGAUCAUCUUCCACAGCCCAGAUGGAGCAGAGAAACCAGUAUAAUGAAACCUCGCUUUACUCCUUACAAGUCCGUGACGAUGAGCUUUGACAAAAGCAACCAAGAUGAUCUGAUUGGCUGAAACCUGGCAAUUCACACAUUUCUCCGAGAAACGCAGAGCUCCAUUCAUCCCAGCCCUAUCAUGCAGGUGUUAGUGUGCAGGCAAUCCAGAGGUUAAGAGCUCUAGAAGCUGCCCCAAAUUACCACGUAACUAAGCUCUGAGAGACGGAGGAUGCUCCACCCCGGACGGGUAAGGACUUGAAGCCUAGAACCAGACAAACAAAGACAAACCAGAAAUGCAGCGUGGUAGCAUCUGCCCGGCACCCAUGGCUGAGACGAUGACCUGAAGGGAAUUCUGCAACGACGUGACGCUUCCUGGGAAUAUUUCCCAUGCAAUCCCAGGAAGCUUUUGGCUGCAAAAUAAUACUUUGUUUUUACACGUGAGGACACUUUUAGCCCCCAUCCCUGCAAGAAAAUGAUGUAGGUGGGUCUUUGGACUUACUGGAGACCAGCUUCAGGAUUGAAGCUUUAUCUAACGUGGCCCAGUACUUACCUGUGCAGAUUCUCCUUUGACACUUGUAUCUGCAUUUCUCAAAGGUUCAGAGUCCUCUUUCUGUGGCAUUCAGUGAUAAACAUGUUGUUCUGAUUUUUUUUUAUUUUUUUUUUUAUGAUGAUUACACAGAAAUUGUAGGAAAAAACCUAGUUAAAAACAAAUUGAUUUUUCUGGGGGAUAUUAUCUGUCUGUGUUAUCUGUGAACUAAUUAUAGGACUAGAAAAUCAAUAACAAUUUGCAGCUCUUAUCAAUGCCACUGUCUAAAUUUGCUACAUAUUAUACUGAAAUAUUUCCUCCUGCGCAUUUGAAAGUCUUGAUCAUCACCUGCUUACCAUGAGGCAGACAAGCUAAUGGCUGAUGAGCAUUUAUAUUUCAUUAUGUUACAAUAACAAGGCUUACCAAAAUCAUUUGUGGCAGACAAAUAACAGCGCAAGUGCAAUUUAGCUGCAGGCUGGGGAGCCAACAUUUUUCAACCCGCUGCAGGAAGAUUAGAAAACUUGGAUGAGAUCUGUGAUUUUUUUUUUAAUUUUUUUUUAAUUAUUAUUAUUUUUUUUUUUAAAGAUUAUGAAACACAGUCAUUAAAAGUUCACGCUUGCCUGCCAAAUGGUCUUUUUCAGACUUCAUUCCAAAAAAAGUAAAUGCUUUGGACAGUGAAUAUACUGCCUUUUCUCUCCAGCAAAGGAGAGAGAUGUGCAAUUCAGGCUAAAUAAUCAAUGGAUACGUCGCAGGCAUAAUCUCCCUUUUAAAAACAAAGGCGGAGAGGACGGGCGUGUACGCCUUUGCUGUAUCAACAAGUGGUGUUGACUGUGGCAACUCAUUUAGCACCAAGCCUCAAAACCUUUUGGGUAGGCAUCAUCUAAUGUCCACAAAAAAAGCAGUGUCAUGGGAGUGUGUCUGAGAUGUGGACAAGACUGAUCCUGCCUGGAGCGGAGAAUCUCCCUUUGAAGAUGCAAUACACCCCACUGAUUGUUUCCCUUGCACUUUGUGUGUAACACUAGUGCCACGUGAAUCGGUGGUGCUGAAUCAGCAUAGGCACCUGCUUUGCAUUGGGGUAAAUUACUACCGAGAUGCAGGGAAGCGAGGGACUGGACUCAUUGGCACAGGGCUGCACGAUCAGAGCCUCUCUUGAUCAAGCCUUAAAGGGAGAAAAUGCAAGACAUGUCAAGGACUCACAAAGCAAAGGGGUUGGGAAGAUUUCACCAGCCCACCUGACCUGAACAUCUACACAUGGGUAAUAGCAGGGGGUUGCAUUGUAGUUUGAGUGCCUUUUGUAUCAGAGGCUCUUAAAGAGCUUUUUCAGAGGGGUAAACUGAGGCACUGAUGGAUCAACUCUCUUGCCAAAGCUCACACCGCGAGGAAGUAGCGAAGCCUGAUACUAAACCCAGGCGGCCCAGCUCCAAGCAACUUCUCCUAGGCACUGGGAUAGACUGACAAAUUGUGCCCCGUCACCUGGGCAUGGAAUAAUCAGUCAUCAUCUAUCAUAUUUUGUACUUUUUCAAGUCAACCAAAGUGAUGAAAGCUGGCUCUCUGGAGGGUUUAGAUCAUUCCUCCUUUUGGAGGUUUGAGGUCUGUGUUCCCGUCUCAUGGGUUAGACACACACAGAUGGAUCCCAGCUUUUGGAGCUGUGUAUGUUUUACCACAUGCCGGGGCUCAGCUGAUGCCUUUUAAUUCCUCUUCUUCCUCUUCACUGUUUGCCUUCCCCGAGCAACCACAAACCCAAAUCAAGGAUCAAGGCCCUGUGACGCUCAGGGGCUGGUAGGACAAGACAAGCAAGUGGGUAAGGAAGGGAAGGGAAGUGUGGUAGCAAAUGGGGAGAAGUCAGUAGGAAAGUAGAAGUCACUGCUUCUCCUUUGCUCUUGGAGGGGGUUUAUGGGAAGAUAACAUUUUGUAGGAAGGUGAUUGUUUGGCCAUGUUGCAUUAGACUCCGGGUCCGAUUCACAGAGGUGGCUUUGUAGCAUGCUUGGCCACAAGACUAGUAAGAGGGAAGGAGCAGAACCAGUGGGCUGGCAUUCACCCUCCUGCUUUUUUUUGUGUCCAAAGCACACUUUCCCUCGGUGGUGUUCAGCCAGCUGUGCCUGCCUCCAGGCUAAAGCAAGAAUUAGAAGCAUAUGUUGAUUCCCAUCACUGAAGUGCAAAGCAAGCCCUUGUCCAGAGAUCACAGGUGUGCACUGUGGAGCAAAGGAGAGCCUACUACAUCCAAAAGCUGAUCUUUCUUGACCGCUCUUUGCUGAACUGUAUGGGAUCUGAUUGCUCGAGCACUGGAGUUAAACGCCUCAACUCUGGAUCGCUUGGAUGAUGCAUUUCCACAGCGCCUUUCAGUUUAAUGCCAUGCUUGAUUCAAUGAUGCUCUCUGAGUGCAACUUGAAGUGCUAUUUUGGCUCACCCCAAGUCUCUCUCUGAAGCAUCAUUUCAUGAAAACCUUCAGAGAGAAAGCUAGCCCCCCGAGGCAUCAUCCUGAAAAUAACUAAAGGAGCAGAUAAAACUCCCACCAGCUGCUCUUCUCAGUAACGUUAGCCUGUGUAGUUGUCAUGCUAACAGUCAGGUGCAAGGACGAGCGCUCUCCAAACAGCUCCGCAUCAAAGAUCAGAUAGCCAUGCAACACUAUCUCUCCACUCAUCUCUGACCUUACCUUUUCAUUGUCCAUUGGAGUUCAGUCCUGUCGGGUCGGUCUUACUUGUUACUAUCACUACAACCUUUGGGCCAGGCUUUAAUGCCUGGAUACACAUGCUUGCAUGAACUCCACUCACUCCCACCAAAAAUGUAUACAUUUCCACCCCCCAAAAAUGCAUGGGACCAAGUAUUUGUAGUCUGGAUAAGGACUGUGGCUUUGAGUACCAGUAGUACAGAGGGCUGUUGUACAUUUGUCAGGUAUGGCCCAGGCCUCCAGACACUUACUUUUGUGAAUGCAGAUACGCGCACACACAUUUGACUGAGUAACUAACAAUAACUUUCCAAGGCUCACGCAAUCCCGAUAUAUAUCUGUUUCCUAGUAACUGGGCCAUUUACUUCCCCACGUUGCUGUUCUAAAUAGAUGGAUGACAUAUCACUUACUGUAAAAUAUGCAAUCACUUCUCUGACAGGACACGUGGCAUUUAUUUUUUCCCAAAAUAGAGGGCUGUGGGGUUUUUUUAAGUUACUAUUUACAGCUCAAGUUCAAACCUGAAAGGUAUUAUACCUCCUUCUCCAAAAAAAGAAGAAGAAAAAAGUGUAAUUUUGAAUCAGGAAGGAUGUGAUUUAAGUAGCUGAAUAUUUGAGAGACAAUGUCCAGCCAGCUGACCUCCCCUUUGCAGCACAAAAUUUGCACCCAAAGGCUUUAAUUAUUCAUUUAUAUUGAUAAUACAGCAAAAUGUACCAAUAUGAACACAGUGGAAGCUCCUGACAAGUGCUUAAGGGUCCAUUAAAAAAGAAACGUAAUAACAUAUCACAAUAAUAAAGAAUCAGGUGGCCCAAAAAUGAAGAAAAAAGCCCCUUGUUGGUCCAUCAAACCCAAAGAUACCAGAUGUUUUUUGUUGUUUUUAUUACUGUAGUGUCCAAAAGGCACCUGGAGCUCCACUGUGCUCUUAUACCCUUGUUUUUCACAGGUUUUUUUCACACUUUUUUUUUUUUACCCCCAAACCUUUGAACUAUGUUUUAAAGGGCAGUUGCUGCUGUUGGCUACACGCUCAGCUGAACCUUUCCAUUUGGUUACACUUGACAAAUGAUGGAUAGGAAGGAGAUUAGUCCCGAGAAGAGUUGAUAGCAAGAGCGAGGAAGAUUUAGGCCAGGGGCUCUUGAAGAAAAUAAAUAUAAUUCAUCACUAUGCAGUGACAAUCCUGAGAUGAUCAAGAAAGUGGUUUAUGGGUGUACCCUCCCUUCUUAUCAUUAUUUUUGGGCUAAAUGUUUUCCAUGGAUGUGUUGUACCUACAUCACCCACACUGGGAACCAUGUUGUGGGGUAUGGGAUUGGGAGCCUAGGUGUGACUCUAGCUCUUCAUGGGGAAAAUGCAAGAAUUACAGUCCUUCCUUGGUAGUGUAACAGUGGUCUUAUAGCCAUGGGGGUCCAGAAAUGUCUUGCACGCUUUUUCUCCUUUCUAUAUUCUGCGUUUUCAUUCAUUUGCAUCUCAUGCUUUCCCCUUCUCAGGGUUGGAAAUGUGGAGAGAGGAAAGGAGACAGCCAGAUACAUGAAGCACUGAAGGAUGAGAUGACCAGUAGUUUACAAUUUGCAGACCCCGCGAGGUCUGUUUUAGUUACUCUGACCCCUCCAGGCUGACUCUUUCCUCAGUCACUGUGGACAACUAUGCUAUCACUCAUGCCCGCAACUUUGGGGUCAUCUUGGAUCCCACACUCCCUCUCAGCCCUCCCGGAGAGGCUAUUGCUUUUAACUCUUGCUGAUGCUUUCUGGAUACUAUCUUGUAUGUCUGCGGUAGGUAGGCCUUUCCUACCUACCAUGCAUCAAUGAGUCUCAAGCUGGGUCUUGUCCUCUCGUGAUUAAAUGGCAGCGAUAUCCUUUUCUCUGGCUUUGACAAAUGUAACAUUUUGUCCUUCCCAUUGAUUCAGAAGAACUCGGCUGGAAAAACCACCUUCCUCGCUCCUGUUCUGACCGUUUGUUGCCUCCCUUCAUUGGCUUCCCCUUCACUCUCAAAGCAAAAUUAGGUGCUGGUUUUUAUUUCCAAGGCUCUUCUACACCCAUUUCUUUCCUCUACAGAUAAGGAUCAUAAGCAGAAUACGUGGCAAAGGGAACUCAGUCUUUUUACAAGCUAUUUAAAUCCUUCAGGGUAAUAAUAAACCUCCUGGAGGAAGAACCCAUCUGGGGAAAAAUAAAUUCAAACGAUGCUGGCCACUUCUAUAAAAAAACCAACAACAAAUCAAGUGCUAAAAGAAACACAAUUAUUGAGCCAUCUUAUUUUCAGCACCAUAAAUAUGAGUGAAUCUUUAAAAUCCAAUUUAUUUUUCUGCUUUUUUUUCCCACGUUUCUCUCCCUUUCCACCAUGAAAAUCGAAAAUGCCAUUAUCACCUUUGUUUACAGCAAGUUUUGCUAUCGGGGUCCUGUGCUCCGGUAUUGGAUUAUGGUUAGCAGGUACCAGCUCUUUAUAGGUGCAGUCCAGAAAGGUGUUGGGUACCUACUGGGAGAUAACAAUUUUGAUGGGGUUUGAAGGGGAUCAAGCUUUGCAUUUGAGCAUCUAGCUUGAUAUAUUUGGGGUCUUUCAAAGGAGACUCUGUUGCAGUCAACAAAAUCCUCGUGUAAACCUAAGAGUAGGAGCAGUAGGAGGGAGGUCUACUGAUGUGUGGUGCAUCGUGUAGACCAUACAGUACUAAUAAGGAGAAAGGGUCUGUCUCCAUACAAAGCCAAGGAAGGCAGCUAGGAAUAUUAAAACUGUACAUCUAGUCUUGCUUUUGUCCAACAUGAUGGUUUAAAUAUGUCCUCUCUUAGGCCUUAACCUACAUUAGAUGUAUUAGAUGUGUUCUGCUUACUUAUACUAAACCAAUGUGAUUUCCUUUGUGUUCCAAGUGAAUAAAAUUGAACU